UACGUAGGGGGCAAGCGUUGUCCGGAAUUAUUGGGCGUAAAGCGCGUGUAGGCGGCUCGGUAAGUCUGCUGUGAAAGUCCAGGGCUCAACCCUGGAAUGCCGGUGGAUACUGUCGAGCUCGAGUCCGGAAGAGGCGAGUGGAAUUCCUGGUGUAGCGGUGAAAUGCGCAGAUAUCAGGAGGAACACCAAUGGCGAAGGCAGCUCGCUGGGACGGUAACUGACGCUGGAGACGCGAAACAUGGGGAGCAAACAGGAUUAAGAACCCUU
rnacentral:rRNA from 1 species